CAGAGAAUAGUUUAAGUUAAAAUAAUAAUUUUGGAGGUUAUUGAUAGGUCAACCCUUUCUCUGA
rnacentral:tRNA from 1 species